AGUGAACGCUGGCGGUAGGCCUAACACAUGCAAGUCGAACGGCAGCACAGUAAGAGCUUGCUCUUACGGGUGGCGAGUGGCGGACGGGUGGGGAAUACAUCGGAAUCUACUUUUUCGUGGGGGAUAACGUAGGGAAACUUACGCUAAUACCGCAUACGACCUACGGGUGAAAGCAGGGGAUCUUCGUACCUUGCGCGAUUGAAUGAGCCGAUGUCGGAUUAGCUAGUUGGCGGGGUAAAGGCCCACCAAGGCGACGAUCCGUAGCUGGUCUGAGAGGAUGAUCAGCCACACUGGAACUGAGACACGGUCCAGACUCCUACGGGAGGCAGCAGUGGGGAAUAUUGGACAAUGGGCGCAAGCCUGAUCCAGCCAUACCGCGUGGGUGAAGAAGGCCUUCGGGUUGUAAAGCCCUUUUGUUGGGAAAGAAAAGCAGCAGGUUAAUACCCCGCUGUUCUGACGGUACCCAAAGAAUAAGCACCGGCUAACUUCGUG
rnacentral:rRNA from 1 species